CGGGGAAUAUUGCGCAAUGGGCGAAAGCCUGACGCAGCGACGCCGCGUGAGGGAUGAAGGUCUUCGGAUCGUAAACCUCUGUCAGAAGGGAAAAAUGUACAGUGCCCCAAUCAACACUGUAUUGAUGGUACCUUCAGAGGAAGCACCGGCUAACUCCGUGCCAGCAGCCGCGGUAAUACGGAGGGUGCAAGCGUUAAUCGGAAUUACUGGGCGUAAAGCGCGCGUAGGUUGUUUUGUAAGUCAGAGGUGUAAUCCCACGGCUUAACCGUGGAACUGCC
rnacentral:rRNA from 1 species